AUCGCUUCUCGGCCUUUUGGCUAAGAUCAAGUGUAAAAACUGGUCUUGUCAGAAGGUCCUGGUGUGUGGAGACGCUAGUCCCUCGGCCUUCCGGCUGUGUCUUCCUUUGGGAGGCGCAGUCCGGUUGCUGCUAUUGGGGGACGACCUGAU